UUGUUUAUACAAAGAAAACACCAAAUGAUUACGAAACAAAGUAGGUCAAAGAAGAAAAAACAUAAAAAAAUAAAUAUUAAUUUUUUUCUACUAUAUUAGAAAUGACUUGUUCUAACAUUUGAGGGUGAUUUUGUCUUUUUAUUCUCACAUAUAGCUACGUGUCUUCUUCACACGUAUCUUCAAUGUACACCUCACUGUUUACUUUUUUCUCCAAAAACUUCUCCUCUCUCCAACAUUCGUUCUAGCUUUUCAGUUUGACAUUAAGGAUCUGCAGCUACUUAUACCAGAAUUUGAGUGAAGGGUAUGUCUGUUAAUGCUUUUGUACUGCCUUUAUUUAAAUUAUUGUGUACAUUAGAUUCCUCUAUGAUUUCGUAAAACUGUGAAAUACCCCUUUUUUAAGGGCGAACUAAUUUGUUGUUCUUAUGUUUUGAGUUUUUUAAAACUUAACUAUCCUUUAUGGCUGACCCUAAUUAUUUUUCAAUAUCCAUUGAUUAAUUUUGUGGUAAAGUUUUAUGCUUUCAGAGUCAAAACUGACUUUUCAGCUUGUUUGUGCCCAAGGGGUCUUCUUUUGUACUACUGGCACCAUGGUAAUUGGUUUGAAGUAUAUGCGGUUGAUUUUUUGUAUGUAUGUGUCUUCUGUUUUAAUUGUUAACAAUUUGAUUGUAUCUUUUCAUGAGCUGAGAUGUCUUGUUUAGUUGAUAAAUUUGCCCUCGACCUUCAAUUAUAUAUGUUUGUAUGAUCAUAUUCAUUCAUUGUAUUCUUUUGAAUUUUUGAUAAUAGUAUCUUCACUUUUCUUUAUUCUUAUCCUGAGGUAUAAAAUUAGUGAUUAAUCCUUGUCAAAAUCUUUCUUUGUUCAUGUACCAUAUCUUAAAACUGUGAUAUUUGAUGUUUUCUUUGUGAAGUGAAAAAUUUUCAAGCUCUCUUCUUGUCAUUAAUCACACCCAAUAACUUGGUUAGUAUUUCAUAUAUGAUUUGCUGGACAAAUUGCAUCCAUAUCAAUACUUAUGAACACAUAAUAUUCUACAAAAAUAACUCUAGUAUUUUAUGGAUUAAAUAUACAACCUUUUUGGGCUCUGCUACUUCGUGUUUUGCCAUGUGUUUCAUAAAUUUGACGUCUUCACAAACAAGACCAUAUUUUUUUUGAUUAUAUGGAAUAGUUGACUCAUUGGUAUGUUACAUUUAUAUAGUAUAUAACUGGAAUGUUUCAGUACUAAUUUAUGUAGUUACAUGUCUAGGCUUUCGCACAAAGAAAGAGGUAUGAUAGUGGUUAUCCUGUAAGAUCCCUUAUUUAUGUUGUUUGUUUUCAUUUGUUUAACCUCCAAAUGAAUCUCAUUGUUGUUAUAAUUGCUAUGAUUUUAUUCACCAAGGUUAAGGAUCUUAUUUUGAUGAUAUUCAUUAUGUUUGUGAAUUUAGAAAUCUGUAAGGGGGGGGGGGGGGGGUAAGGUUUUAUGGAAUAUUGACAUCUUGAUAGUAUUCAAUUAGCAUGAGAAAGUUUGCAAAGAUGAAAAAUAUGCCCAAGAAAUAUCCCAUAGUUCAGUGACCAUUUAAGAUAUUAACUCCACAACGAACCAAUACAUUUUGAAUAUCUUCUCAUUUUCACUAAUGCAUAUAUACGUGAAUGUAGAAGAUCCUAUCUUCUUUCUAGGUAAUAGACAAAAGAUGAAUCUUAAUCCCAAGUGUUAAAACUUUCAAGCAAUAUAAUGAUUAAUCAUCUAUUUAAUCAAAGAAAAAAAAAUGAACGGAGUACAAGAAAUCGGUAGGCAGAGAUCAUUUAAAAACAACAAUAAUUGUGAGCAACAAUCAAGUAGAAAAAGGUCUCUACAACAUUGAAGUUCUUAUCUCAUGAAAUCAAACAAAUGAAAUACUAACGGGCUUAAAAAAAAACAUCAACCUACCACUAUCAUCAUUAUUCUCCUUUCAGAACCCAUCGUAUUCCCACAAAUUCUCUUCCUGGCUGCAAAUUCUAACAUUGAAACUUAUGUUAGUGUCAAAGUCAUAAGUAUAUAAUCUCACCUAAACAUUAGUAUAUAAUCUCCUUGUGUAGCAGCUAUUUGAUAUACACAUGUACUACUAAUGUGAUCACUCUUUUAUGUAGAUGUGUAUUCUCUUGUAUAUUAGUUUGUAGAGAACUAUAGGACAUACAAAGAUAAAAUUUUAUCCUUUUUCACACCAAUUGACGAAUUGAUUUCAAAGUUAUUGAUUUAAUUUGACAACGAAGUAUCUCACUGAGUUAGAUCCAUGAUAUGAAUCCUUCCUAUAUAGUUUUUAGUAAAUAUGCUUCAAAAUAUGUACAUGCUUAGAAUCAAAGUUAAUUUAUAUUCUUCAAUUUUAGAUGUCUGCAUUUUACAUAAAAAAAUAGUGUUGCUUUUUUCCCAGACAUCUCUAUUCCUCUUUAAUGAAAUAGUUCAAAUAAUGAACAAAACAACUAUUCUCCACAUUUCUUCCUUGCAGAAAUAAAUAGUUCACUUUGAAUCUAAAUUCAUUUUCCCUCUUCCUCCACAGGUACGUUGACUACACUAGAAAGCAACUAAAAUGCAGCAAUACGUAAAUAGUGUAAAUUUCAAUGCAAAUAAUAAAAAUACAGUUACAAAAAAAAUGAUAUUCAACUAUAUAUAUAAAAUCUCUAUAUAUGUCUAUGAGCAUUUAUCCUUCUUAUAUAGGCCUGUAUGUGUACAUCUAUCUUAUAAAUUUUUUUAAAUUACGGGCCAUAUCUACCUACUAUUACAAACAAAGCACCAAAAAGUUACUAAACAACGAAGGUCAAAUAAAAAAGAGCAUACAUAUGAGGCUAUGGAGGGUUGCACACACAACAUAGCCUAGGAAAUUUUAGCAAAAAACUUCUUCCAUCCUAGUGUCGCUUAUAAUAUAUACUAGAAAGAGAUGACUCGUAUUGGGUUUUUUUUUAAAGUUUGUAACAUCAAAUUGAAGAAAAGUAAUUUGAUGAAUCUAAGGUGGUGUUCGUUAUGCAAAAUGUUAAUUUUUCUAUAUUUGAUCAGUUAAUGUGAUCAACAAUAAUAAUUGAGGAACACAUAUUAAUUUAUUUGAUAGUAUAUACCAAGGGAGCCUAGUUUACAAAA